GGACUAAAUGAACCCAAUGGGCAUUUCAGAGGGGUGGUCCAUAGACUAAGGGAAUGGUAUCUGUUGUGCAGCUGUCAAGUGGAUGCUC